rnacentral:rRNA from 1 species
UACGUAGGGUGCAGGCGUUAAUCGGAAUUACUGGGCGUAAAGCGUGCGCAGGCGGUUUGCUAAGACAGGCGUGAAAUCCCCGGGCUUAACCUGGGAACUGCGCUUGUUACUGGCAGGCUUGAGUGUGGCAGAGGGGGGUGGAAUUCCACGUGUAGCAGUGAAAUGCGUAGAGAUGUGGAGGAACACCGAUGGCGAAGGCAGCCCCCUGGGCUAACACUGACGCUCAUGCACGAAAGCGUGGGGAGCAAACAGG